ensembl:lncRNA
CUCGGCCAUUGGUUUGUGGAUUGUCGUUUUGAAGAUUCAAGUUUCUACGACAUUGCCACGAGAGUGGCCAUAUUUGGGUGGCGGAGGUAUCUAUUAGACUCUAAAUGGACUCUAAUUUACUCAAUGAACAAGAUGAUGUAAUAACGAACAGUUAAAUCUAGAGAUCGAGACAAUGAACAGCAGUAGCAGCGUUACAAGUUCAUUCUUCUGUUGCCAAGUGCUUGCGUCACAGUUUCCUGAUUUAAAUUGCGUUUCUGUAGUAAGGUGUAUUGCCCACACAUCUACAAGUUAUCUCAAGCAUUUGUGAAGGAGACAUGUAUGAAAUCAAACAGAAGCACCAGCUUAUAAUGAAUGGUUGGAGUGACGCCUGUAACGUGUCUGCUGUGGGACACACACACUGUAAUGUUAUGUUAAUGUGCCUCAGUGUGAUAGAAGGUACUUCAGUACCUGGUAAUAGGAUACAAGAAUGACCAUGGCUGUUUGAAUGGAGUAUACAUUCUUCUGUGUACUACCAAAUCUAUUAUAAUUUGUAUCUUAGUAUUUUAUUAAACUACUUGGAUCUUUUUGCUGUAGCACAGCGUAGCAACAUUUCCUCUCUAAGUGUCACGAUUGCAGGGAAGGCAGGACUCAAAUGCAGAGUUUAAGGAAACAAGAAAUACUUUAAUAGUCAAAAUCCAAAAGCAAAAAGGACAAGGGGCAAAAACGCGCACACGGGAACCAGGAACACUCAGACAAGGACCUCCGGACAUGGACCAAUGACGCGACAAGGGACAAGAGACACACAUGACUUAAAUACACUGGGAAGGUGCAGGCGAUUGGAUACAGGGCCCAAAGUGAGGACUGGCCAAAAUGUCCUCACUUUUACAGAGUCCUCCAUCUGAAGGUCUAAACCUCCCACUGGUCGUCACAAAGAUAGCUAUGACUUUAGGACAAGAACUAGGAAAUCCGUGUUGAUCCGCUGCACACAUGGUAUCUGUCCACUGUGUCUCCGGCACCUUUCCCUGCUGCGGCA